rnacentral:lncRNA from 1 species
AUGCCCCGUGCUGUGGUUGUCUUCUUCUCAUGGGAACCUGUCCCCCAGGCCAUCAGCUCCCCAGUGACAAGGCCUGAACUUAGCUCAGCUUGUACCUCCCUCACAUAGUAGGUGUUCCAUGAGAAGAUGAUGAGCGAAUGAAUAGCCCUAUUUCUGGACUCAUCUUUCUCCACCAUUUUAAAAUCUAUGAAUCCCCUUCUCUCUAAGAACAGGCGAUGCCGCCUCUGGGAAGUCCUCCUUGAUUGCCCCUGGGUCUGUGUCAAUUGCUCGACUGGCCCUGCACCACCCCCCUUGGCAUCUCGUGCUUGCCUGGGGGUCUUGGCUGCUUCCCACCUGGCUCAUUGUCAUUGUGUGCCCCCCUCCCCAGCCAAGGCCGGGGCCUGCACACAAUAGGUGCUAUGGGUGUAUUUGUGGAGUGAGUCGCUGUUCAUUUGACAUGUGCUUGGCAGGUGCCUGCUUCGGGCUGGGAACUGUUUUCUGCCCCAGGGACACAGCUGUGACCCAAACAGAGACUCCUGCCCCUGAGGUAUCUUCCCUGUAAUGGGUGGACACGGCCCCAGAGGGGCCUCUGCUGGCGUGUGGCAUCGUCAGAUGCUGCCCAAGCCAAGUACAGGUAUAACUUCUGUUUUGUCACCGCUUCUGGUUGUAAAAAGCUACAUCUUGAUAUAUUUCCGCUGGCGAAAGAUUUAAGAUAAAAUUAAUCUGCCAGCUCUGAGUCUGAGUGACUCUCAGAGUUUAAAUAAUGCCACUUAAUAGACAGUGGCAAGUGGACAUCGCUAGUUCGCCUGCUGUGGGCUGGUUCUCCUGCAGCUCCCUCUGCUCUCUGAGAUCCCUGCCCUUGGUCCUCCCGAUAGCCCCCAGACCAGCCUCUGUCCCCUGGGUCACCAGGAAACCCAUUGGCCUCAGUCAGCCCAUGCUCCCUUCCAGCCGUGCCCAAGCCAGUGUCUGCAACGCCCACGAAGGCCUAGAGAUGCCCACAGACCCCCGGUCCUCAGGUUUUUUUUUUUUUUUUUUUUUUUUUUGCUUUGUAGGGCCACACCCGUAGCAUGUGGAGGUUCCCAGACUAGGGGUCCAAUGGAGCUACAGCUGCUGGCCCACGCCACAGCCACAGCAAUGCCAGAUCCGAGCUGCAUCUGCGACCUACACCACAGCUCACGGCGAUGCCAGAUCUUAACCCACUGAAUGAAGCCAGGGAUUGAACCCACAACCUCGUGGUUCCUAGUUGGAUUCGUUUCUGCUGUGCCACAACAGGAGCUCUAAGAAGCACAGUUUUGAGUUCGAAUCUGAGAUGCUGCCAAGGACUGGACACAGCAGGCCCGUGUCCACACCCUCUGGCUAGAACUGUUGAAAACCAAGCCCUUGAUCUGGUCACUUUCAACCUUAGGAAGAGUCUCGUGCCAGAUGGUGGUGCCCAAGCCUUGGAUGAAAUGAAGGAAACGAGGUGUGAUGACGGGUUGGGGGAAAAGCAACGGAACUCACUGUCCUGAACAGACCCCCCCCGGGGGGGGGUGCUGACUUUCCCCGUCUGUCAAAGCUGGUGGCUGACAAGACCUUGAGGGCUUUCCUGCCCCCACCCACUACGAUCUCUGGCUCCCGUGGGAGGAGGGAUUGGACAGAGCUGAGUCUGAUUGUCUUAUAACGGGAACUCCGGGAUGGCCGGGAACGAUCUUGACCCCAAGCUGAGCCCAGGAACGCUGGUGAUGCUGAGGGAGCCAGGCUUCCUUGCAGACCCCAGCUCUGGCCUGGCCACCCCUUCCCUGGGGUCAGACUUAGCGCCAGGGAAGGGGUGUUGAGCCAACUGGCCUGUGCAAUUUCCUUCAUCUAUUUGCCUCAAACCCUGACCUGAGUCCAAGGACUUGUCACCCCCAAGGAAGGAGCAGAGAAGCGGGCAUGGGCUCCAUAGCUCCUGUGCCCGCCGGGCGGCCUGGAAGUGGCACUGGGAGGGCCCAGGUGGGGGCCACCUGGAUACCUGUCUUUGUGCAGCCAUGGGCAUCAUGUGAGAGGUGCCCCCACAGGUGCUGAGCCCGUGGGUUCCAGCCUCUGCUCCACAUCCAGAUCUUCAGGGAGCUUUAAAAACCUAUCCCCGGGAGCUCCGGCUGUGGGGCAACGGGAUGGGUGGCAUCUCUGCGGGUCCAGGACACAGGUUUGAUCCCUGGCCCAGCACAGGGGGUUAAAGAAUCUGGCACUGCUGAAACGGCAGCUGGGAUCUGAUCCCGGGCCCAGGAACUCCAUGUGUUGUGGGGGGGCCCCAAAUGAAAAACCAAAACAUAAACAAAACCACACCAUCCUGGAGCUUCAUAAACCCCGGUCCCUGGAUCAGAAUCCCUGCGUUGGAGCCUGGAGGUCUGUGAGGGGCUUGAGCCCUGGGCCUGGCUGGCCCAGCUUGUCCCGCUGUCUGUCACUGGGGCACCAGCCACCUUGAGUUCACCUGAGUUCAUCCUCCAGCACGCCCUGGGUGGGACCCCAGGGAUGAAGAGCUGGAAACCCAUCCUUGGGCAUCGACUGCACUCGGGGCUGAGAGUUAAGUUGGCAAAUGGUUACAAUAUGGGGGAUGCGGCCGCGUGGAAGGGGACCCCAUGGGGGCCGGCAAACCCUCCCCACCAAGCUCAGGCUCCUCUGAGCCCCGUUCUUGGCGAGGCCUGGGUGAGGCCCGGAGGGACUGCAGACGCAACAUGAGUGAUUUUGUCAACCCCUCACCAAGAGUCUUGAACCCACCUUGUUUCUAACAACUCAAGGCCCCUUCGGUUCCCGCCUGGGGAGACUCCAGGCAGCCGUGAGAAAUGAGUUUGUUUCCCCCGACGCCUGAGGAUGCGCCCCGUCUCCAGCCUCGGGGCAGUGGCGGGGGAAGGCGGGGAGCCUCACGCGGAUCAGCCCCAGAUGGCAAAUCCAGAUGGGAGUCACGUGCACCAUCGCCCCACUUUCUGUAAAUUUCCACUUCUCUGCAGCCCUGGCUCCACCCUCCCUCUGUCCCCCUCCUCCGUUUCAGAUGCCCAGUCGCCUGUGUGCUGGUUGAAGAUGUGCUCAGGGUACCUGGACCCUCCUCUCUGUUGCAACAGAUGUAGUGAAAUCUACUUCCGUUGCCGUCAGCUAGUGCUGACCCUGCCCACCUAUGCCAGGGUCCAGCGAGCCCUCUCAGAGAGGCGGCUUUGGGACCAGCCUGGGGGUGGAGGGCCAGCUGCCAUAUUUGUGCCCUGGCAGUGAAGUCCCCGUCUGCAGCCUCCUAAAGCAGGCGCUGGUUUCCCUAGGUGGUGAAGCCCUUGCCUCCUCGGGCUGUCAGACUUGCCCCCUUCCUAGACCUGCCCGCGGGUCCAGGCUUUUAAGUUUGGAAAGGUUUUCAGGCUCUUUGCAGUCCCCUGCCCUCCUGGUCUCGAGACUCCCCCAGGCAGCCAGCAGCACACUUCGUCUCCGUUUUGCUUUGUUUUACCCCUUAGAAACCCUUCCUGUGGCAACUACUCUCCCAGCCCAUGUGGUCCUCGGGGGCUGUCUAGGAUCCAGCCCUUUCCCAAAACAUCAGCAGGGGAGGCAUUUCUAUAGAUGCCCUGGAUCCUGCUGUCCAGCCCCUUUACCCCCUCUGGUAGUAGAAUCCAUCACUGGGGGACCCACGACUCUCAGUCCUCCUAAUUCAAAUGGUCUCACCCUGCAUCUGCCUGCCUAUCAGGAUGAGCCAGAUGCCCAGGCUGGCCAAUCAGAGCUACGAGAAGGGCACAUGACUCCAGGCAGGCCAAUCAGAGCCCAUGGUAACUGACUCAGAGCCCAUGGAAUUGGCUCAGAGAAGGGCACAUGACUCCAGACGGGCCAGUCAGAGCCCAUAAUAAUUGGCUAAGAGAAGGGGACAUGACUCUAGGCAAGCCAAUCAGAUCCCAUGGUAAUUGGCUCAGAAAAGGGGUAUGACUCCAGAUGAGCCAAUCAGAACCCAUGAUAAUUGGCUAAGAGAAGGGCACAUGACUCCAGAUGAACCAAUCAGAUCCCAUGGCAAUUGGCUCAGAGAAGGGCACAUGACUCCAGAUGAGCCAAUCAGAUCCCAUGGUAAUUGGCUCAGAGAAGGGCACUUAACUCCAGGCAGGCCAAUCAGCAUCAGUUUGCUCUUGGACCUCUUCCAGAAAAAUUAGGGAAAGGGCUCUUUAAAACGAUUAGCAUCAGUCACCACUUAGUGAGCACUGCUGUGUGCCAGGCACUGGGCUAGGUGUCUGCCCAUGCCGUUUGUAAUCCUCACAGGACCGGACCUGGUACUGAUGGUUCUGUCUUUGGCUCAGGGGAGGACGUCAAAGCCUAGGGAGGUUGUGACUGCCCUGAGGUCUCUGACGGCGUCUGCAAAGCCAGGGGGGAUCCAAGCCUGUCUGCCUCUGGGUGGCGUUUAGACUCACGUGGUGGCUAACGCUGCCCUCCAGGGUGCCAGCGCGUGCCCCGCCAAGUGAGAAAGGUCAGUGAGACAUACCUCUGACAUAAAUGUCGACGGGAGCUGCACCUGGAAUCUUAAUUAGAUAAUGGCCUAAGGGAAGAAUCCGGAGUCCAGACGAAGGCUCAGGAAGAGUACUGCUGAUUCCUCACAGGGCAAUUUGUGGGAGUCAGAAAUUAGAACCUGCCUAAACGUCCCAUAAUGAGGAAAUGAUUAAGUAAAUUAUGCAGCCAAAGAUGCUUACAAUGAGUUUGUAAUAACACGAGGAAUUGUCUAGCAUAUUAAGUGAGAAAAACAACCAGGUAAAAAGUAUUUAGAGGCUGGUCUCAAGCACACAAAAUUACAGAUCCAAGAUGGACAGAUUUUUUAAAAGAUUAAACUAUGCCAGGGUCCCCACAGUGGUUUUCUUUGGGUGGUGAGAUAUGUGCUUGCUUUUUUUUCAUGGCUUCCAAAUUUUCCAAAAUGGGUUAAGUAUUGCGUGUAGCAUCAGCGCAGAAGGAAACACGGUAUUAAAAAUCCUGGUAAGGAAAAUGUCAACAGGAUUUUCAUUCUCCACUGAGCUGCUAACAGCCACCCCCCAGGCCAGAGGCAGAUCGACAGCAAGGGCGGUUUGCGUUGGAGCAAAGGCUGGGUUUGCAGUAUGUUUUCCUGUUUGUGACCUUGUCUGGUGAGCGGGCAACCUCUGGAUGCCAAACAGGGCAGCUUCUCUCUCUCAGCCUUAUUUUAAUUUUCUUUGUUAUGGUCGUAUACAUCGUACAUUCAAGAGAAUGCAUAAAACAUCCAUACAGUUUACAGAAAAGUAACAAGACAAACACCCAUGCCUCUACCCCUAGGAUGGGAAAUAGAAUAUUCCAGUAAAAGAGCCUCUGUGUAAUCCCUCCCUAAUUCUUUCUCCCUCCCUCCCUAACAUUUGCGGGGCUCCGGGCAAGAGUACAAACACAGCCCCACACACCAUAUGUCGAAAUAUUUAUAAAUUAUAAAUCAAGUUAACGAACUGUUAAAUAAAAAAUGUUCGAGCCUCCUGCUUUGACAAAUAUACCUUCAUAAUAACAAAAUUGAAAAGAUGUAUAAAAUUACGGGUUAUUUUUUGAUAAGUGAAGCUGGCAAAAUAUCAAAAAGAACCGAAUUUAAUUAUUAUUGCAGAUGCCUGGGUGUUCUGUUGAUGGGCCAAUAAUGCUUGGAUGAGUAAUAAAACAAAAGCAUGCAUAAUUUAU